rnacentral:rRNA from 1 species
UUCGUAACAAGGUUUCCGUAGGUGAACCUGCGGAAGGAUCAUUGUCG